CACGCCGUAAACGUUGAGAACUAAGUGUUGGGGAGACCCAGUGCUGAAGCUAACGCAUUAAGUUCUCCGCCUGAGGAGUACGCACGCAAGUGUAAAACUUAAAGGAAUUGACGGGGGCCCACACAAGCAGUGGAGCAUGUGGUUUAAUUCGAGGCUACGCGAAGAACCUUACCAGGGCUUGACAGGAAACUUAAGACCCUAGAGAUAGGGGGAUAAUAAGUGAAACAGGUGG
rnacentral:rRNA from 1 species